ACAGGUGCUGCAUGGCUGUCGUCAGCUCGUGUUGUGAAAUGUUGGGUUAAGUCCCGCAACGAGCGCAACCCUUAUCCUUUGUUGCCAGCGGUCCGGCCGGGAACUCAAAGGAGACUGCCAGUGAUAAACUGGAGGAAGGUGGGGAUGACGUCAAGUCAUCAUGGCCCUUACGACCAGGGCUACACACGUGCUACAAUGGCGCAUACAAAGAGAAGCGACCUCGCGAGAGCAAGCGGACCUCAUAAAG
rnacentral:rRNA from 1 species